GACGUAGGGCGCGAGCGUUGUCCGGAUUUAUUGGGCGUAAAGAGCUCGUAGGCGGCUCAUUGCGUCAACCGUGAAAACUUGUGGCUCAACUACAAGCUUGCGGUUGAUACGGGUGGGCUGGAGUUCGGUAGGGGAGACUGGAAUUCCUGGUGUAGCGGUGAAAUGCGCAGAUAUCAGGAGGAACACCGGUGGCGAAGGCGGGUCUCUGGGCCGAUACUGACGCUGAGGCGCGAAAGCGUGGGGAGCAAACAGG
rnacentral:rRNA from 1 species